AUUGAACGCUGGCGGCAGGCUUAACACAUGCAAGUCGAGCGGGGUGAUGGUGCUUGCACUAUCACUUAGCGGCGGACGGGUGAGUAAUGCUUAGGAAUCUGCCUAUUAGUGGGGGACAACAUCUCGAAAGGGAUGCUAAUACCGCAUACGUCCUACGGGAGAAAGCAGGGGAUCACUUGUGACCUUGCGCUAAUAGAUGAGCCUAAGUCGGAUUAGCUAGUUGGUGGGGUAAAGGCCUACCAAGGCGACGAUCUGUAGCGGGUCUGAGAGGAUGAUCCGCCACACUGGGACUGAGACACGGCCCAGACUCCUACGGGAGGCAGCAGUGGGGAAUAUUGGACAAUGGGGGGAACCCUGAUCCAGCCAUGCCGCGUGUGUGAAGAAGGCCUUAUGGUUGUAAAGCACUUUAAGCGAGGAGGAGGCUCUUUUGGCUAAUACCCAAGAUGAGUGGACGUUACUCGCAGAAUAAGCACCGGCUAACUCUGUGCCAGCAGCCGCUGUAA
rnacentral:rRNA from 1 species